AUAGGCGGUAAACGCAUCUAUCUUUCUCAGCAACCAACCCCUAACUUUCUAGGGUUUAACGCAUCGCCCUAGUUCAGUGACUCAGUCCUUCGCACGCUUUUCGUCUUCUCUUCCGCAGAUCCCCCAAAUACUAGAAAAACCCCCUCCACCAAAUGACCCUCUAAAACCCUAACCCUCCAUUUCCCCUUCAUUUCUUAUACCUAACCCUACUCUAAUUCCUGAGCCAUGUACCUCUACAGCCUCACUCUCCAGCGAGCCACCGGCAUAGUCUGCGCCAUCAACGGAAGUUUCUCCGGCGGCAAGACCCAAGAGAUCGUUGUCGCCCGCGGCAAGCUCCUCGAGCUUCUUCGACCCGACGACAGCGGUAAGAUCCAAACGCUUCUCUCCGUUGAAAUUUUUGGCGUCAUUAGGUCUUUAGCUCAGUUUAGGCUUACUGGGUCUCAGAAAGACUAUAUUGUUGUCGGGUCCGAUUCCGGUCGUAUAGUUAUCCUCGAGUACAACAAGGAGAAGAAUGUUUUCGACAAAAUUCACCAAGAAACUUUCGGCAAAUCGGGCUGUCGUAGAAUAGUUCCGGGCCAGUACUUGGCCACUGAUCCAAAGGGUAGGGCGGUGAUGAUUGGGGCUUGUGAGAAGCAGAAGCUUGUUUAUGUGUUGAAUAGGGAUACGGCGGCGAGGCUGACCAUUUCCUCGCCAUUGGAGGCGCAUAAAUCGCAUACGAUAGUGUAUUCUAUCUGUGGAGUUGAUUGUGGGUUCGAUAACCCGAUAUUUGCUGCCAUAGAGUUGGAUUACUCGGAGGCAGACCAGGAUUCAACUGGGCAGGCAGCAAGUGAGGCCCAGAAGAAUUUGACUUUUUAUGAGCUUGACUUAGGGCUUAACCACGUAUCCAGGAAGUGGUCGGAGCCAGUUGAUAAUGGUGCUAACUUACUUGUUACUGUUCCCGGAGGAGGGGACGGGCCGAGUGGUGUGUUGGUUUGUGCGGAAAACUUUGUGAUAUAUAAAAAUCAGGGACACCCGGAUCUUAGGGCUGUGAUUCCUAGACGAGUAGAUCUGCCUGCUGAGCGAGGGGUUCUUAUAGUUUCAGCAGCAGUGCAUAAGCAGAAAGCGAUGUUCUUCUUUCUGUUGCAAACAGAGUAUGGGGAUAUUUUUAAGGUUACUUUGGACCAUGACAAUGACCGUGUUACAGAGUUGAAGAUUAAGUACUUUGAUACAAUUCCGGUUACUUCCUCCAUGUGUGUGCUGAAGUCAGGGCACUUGUUCGCUGCUUCAGAAUUUGGGAAUCAUGCUUUCUAUCAGUUCCAAGGUAUAGGUGAUGAUGCUGAUGUGGAGUCUUCAUCGGCUACAUUGAUGGAAACAGAAGAAGGUUUCCAGCCAGUGUUUUUCCAGCCUAGACGACUUAAGAACCUUCUCAGGAUUGACCAAGUGGAGAGCCUAAUGCCAAUAAUGGACAUGAAAGUGGCUAAUCUCUUUGAAGAAGAAACACCCCAGAUAUUUACGCUUUGUGGGCGGGGCCCUCGUUCGUCUCUUAGAAUGUUAAGGCCUGGUUUAGCUAUUAGUGAAAUGGCUGUGUCAGAGCUUCCUGGUGUGCCAAGUGCGGUUUGGACUGUGAAAAAGAAUGUUAAUGAUGAGUUUGAUGCAUACAUUGUGGUGUCAUUCUCAAAUGCGACUCUCGUUCUUUCCAUUGGUGAGACAGUUGAAGAAGUUAGUGAUAGUGGGUUUCUUGAUACCACCCCCUCACUUGCUGUUUCUUUAAUUGGUGAUGACUCUCUCAUGCAAGUUCAUCCCAAUGGCAUUAGGCAUAUUAGGGAGGAUGGGCGUAUCAAUGAGUGGAGGACUCCUGGAAAGAGGACAAUUGCUAAGGUUGGCUCUAACAGACUUCAAGUGGUCAUUGCACUUAGUGGUGGUGAAAUUGUGUAUUUUGAGGUGGAUAUCACUGGCCAAUUGAUUGAAGUGGAUAAGCACGAAAUGUCAGGUGAUGUGGCUUGUUUGGACAUUGCCCCUGUACCUGAAGGAAGGCAAAGAUCUCGUUUCCUUGCUGUUGGUUCAUAUGACAACACAAUUCGUAUCUUAUCAUUGGACCCUGAAGAUGGUAUGCAGAUUCUGAGUGUGCAAAGUGUUUCUUCGGCUCCAGAAUCUCUCCUUUUUCUCGAAGUCCAGGCAUCAAUAGGUGGGGAGGACGGUGCUGAUCAUCCUGCCAGCCUUUUUCUUAAUUCUGGUUUGCAGAAUGGAGUUCUAUUUAGAACAGUUGUAGAUAUGGUGACUGGUCAGCUUUCUGAUUCCCGGUCUCGUUUCUUGGGACUGAGAGCCCCAAAGCUUUUUUCUAUUAUAGUACGAGGCAAGCGUGCCAUGCUUUGCUUGUCAAGUCGACCUUGGCUUGGCUAUAUUCACCAAGGACAUUUUCUUUUAACACCUUUAUCAUAUGAGACUCUUGAAUAUGCAGCAUCAUUUGCCUCUGACCAAUGUGCAGAAGGUGUAGUUGCUGUUGCUGGUGAUGCUUUGAGGGUUUUUACUAUUGAGAGACUGGGAGAAACAUUUAAUGAAACUGUAAUUCCCCUAAGAUACACACCAAGAAAGUUUGUGCUUCAACCCAAGCGAAAAUUGCUGGUAAUUAUUGAGAGUGAUCAAGGAGCAUUCGCAGCUGAAGAGCGUGAAGCUGCAAAAAAGGAGUGCUUUGAGGCUGUUGGAACUGGGGAAAAUGAAAAUGGUAAUAUGGAGCAGAUGGAGAACGGUGGUGAUGAGGACAAAGAUGAUCCCCUCUCGGACGAACACUAUGGCUAUCCCAAGGCUGAAUCAGACAGGUGGGUUUCUUGCAUUAGAGUUCUUGACCCAAAGACAGCUACUACAACUUGUCUGCUGGAGCUUCAGGACAAUGAAGCUGCGUUCAGUAUAUGCACAGUGAAUUUCCACGAUAAAGAAUAUGGAACUCUUUUAGCUGUUGGCACUGCAAAGGGACUACAGUUUUGGCCCAAAAGAAGUUUAGCUGCUGGUUUUAUUCAUAUUUAUAGGUUUUUAGAGGAUGGAAGGUCACUUGAACUAUUGCACAAGACACAAGUAGAAGGCGUUCCAACUGCUUUGUGCCAGUUUCAAGGACGAUUACUUGCAGGUAUUGGAAAUGUUCUCAGAUUAUAUGAUUUGGGCAAAAGAAGAUUGCUUAGAAAAUGUGAGAACAAACUGUUCCCCAACAGUAUUGUCUCCAUUCACACUUAUCGUGAUCGGAUAUAUGUUGGCGACAUUCAAGAGUCAUUCCAUUACUGUAAGUACAGACGUGAUGAGAAUCAACUGUAUGUAUUUGCCGAUGAUAGCGUUCCAAGAUGGCUUACUGCAUCAUACCAUAUAGAUUUUGACACCAUGGCAGGUGCAGACAAGUUUGGGAACAUUUAUUUUGUGCGGUUACCACAGGAUGUGUCGGAUGAGAUAGAAGAAGAUCCAACCGGGGGGAAAAUAAAAUGGGAGCAGGGGAAGCUGAAUGGAGCUCCCAACAAGGUAGAGGAGAUAGUGCAGUUUCACAUUGGUGAUGUGGUCACCUGCUUGCAGAAGGCAUCUCUAAUUCCAGGUGGGGGAGAGUGCCUCAUAUAUGGCACUGUGACGGGGAGCUUGGGAGCAUUGCUAGCAUUCACCUCUCGCGAUGAUGUUGACUUCUUUUCUCACUUGGAGAUGUAUAUGAGGCAGGAACAUCCACCUUUGUGUGGAAGAGAUCACAUGGCUUAUAGAUCUGCUUACUUUCCUGUUAAGGAUGUGAUCGAUGGGGAUCUGUGUGAACAGUUCCCAACUCUGCCUCUGGAUUUGCAAAGGAAAAUUGCCGAUGAAUUAGAUAGAACUCCUGGGGAGAUACUGAAGAAACUUGAAGAAGUUCGAAAUAAGAUCAUUUGAGGAAAAUUUAACUUAAAGGAGGAGCACAUUAGCAUGUACGGUUAUUUCUUAAUGUUCAUGCGACUGCCACUUAACAUGUUAGGUCAUUGUUCUGAUCUACGGGAAAUUUUUCCAUUAAACAGGUGAGGGGAUAUCAGUGGUUGGUGCCCAAUUCGGGGCACCCUGCUGCCUGUUCUUGCACUGAUGAGAGAGCAUGCGUGGCGAAAAGAAAUAUCCUUUCGGACUCUGGAUGAGACAGUGGCCCAGUCAUUAAUGUUGGGACUAGUUAGGCUAGUUGGGAAAAGUUGUGGGAUAAUGGGAAAAAGAAGUACACGCAAUAGCCACAUUCCCAGACUGCAGUUUUUUGUUGUAAUUAGUCAUUUGACCUUGAUGCAAUCUCCUCAUGGAAUUAUGUUUAUUGACUGCUGUAUGUGCUUGUAUCUUUCUACCUGGUGUGUGUUCAAUGCCUGCACGGCUACUA